rnacentral:rRNA from 1 species
UACGUAGGGGGCUAGCGUUGUCCGGAAUCAUUGGGCGUAAAGAGCGCGUAGGCGGCCCGGUAAGUCCGCUGUAAAAGUCCAGGGCUCAACCCUGGAAAGCCGGUGGAUACUGUCGGGCUCGAGUCCGGAAGAGGCGAGUGGAAUUCCUGGUGUAGCGGUGGAAUGCGCAGAUAUCGGGAGGAACACCUAUGGCGAAGGCAGCUCGCUGGGACGUUACUGACGCUGAGACGCGAAAGCGUGGGGAGCAAACAGG